rnacentral:lncRNA from 1 species
CUGAUCUCACUGAUUGAAGCUUGGGGCAUUGGUGACUCGGUCAUUGGAGGUGGUGGUGGUGGAGUAGUUGGAGGUGGUGGAGUUGUUGGAGGUGGUGGUGGUGGAGUUGUUGGAGGUGGUGGUGGUGGAGUUGUUGGAGGUGGUGGUGGAGUUGUUGGAGGUGGUGGUGGUGGAGUUGUUGGAGGUGGAGUUGUUGGAGGUGGUGGUGGUAGAGUUGUUGUUGGUGGUGCUGGAGUUGUUGGAGGAGGUGGUGGUCGUAGAGUUGUUGGAGGCAGUGGUGGAGGUAGAGAUGUUGGAGGUGGUGGAGUUGUUGGGACUGCCGGUGGCUCUUCAUCAGUGAUGUGGGUAAUGGAGUGGGGGAGUACUUCUGGAGGGCUUAGUGGGGAGUAGAAUCGUUUUUUGGGGGAGGAAAAGACCCUUGCCAUAAAGAGGGACAAGGAUGGGCUCUUCAGCGAUGAGCUUCUACAUGACCACACGGAAAUGAAACAAGAUUUUUGGUCAGUUACUGUAAUACAGCAUUAAAUAAAAGCUCACAUACAUAAUCAAACUUUAAAUUCAUGUAAAGUCACUUGUUC